AGAUGACCCAGAAGUUCUACUUUUCCAGAACGAUGCCUGAGCUCUCCAGACACACGCCCCUGAAGACGUGAUCAUGGCGAAACCGGUGCUUUGAGUCCUUUGAAACUUCGUCAAUUUGGUGCCACAGAGCAGAACUAGCAUUGGGUAAAAUCUCGACGUACACCAAGCAAAAACUUCAUAUUGCUUAACCCAAGUGACGCCCAGUGAAUAUCGGCAGAUCCAAAUGGGACUUCACGUAGAAUGCAAAAGGAUGGUUGGCAAUGAAGUGCUUGCGACUGAAGCCAGCCACGGGCAUCACCCGG